GCCAUUAAAGGAGGCAGCAGGCGCGCAAUUACCCAAUCCUGACUCAGGGAGGUAGUGACAAGAAAUAACAAUAAACCGGCUUAUGCCGGUUUAAUUGGAAUGAGUACAAUUUAAACAUCUUAACGAGGAACAAUUGGAGGGCAAGUCUGGUGCCAGCAGCCGCGGUAAUUCCAGCUCCAAUAGCGUAUACUAAAGUUGUUGCAGUUAAAAAGCUCGUAGUUGGAUUUCUGUGGGGACGGAGCGGCCGGCCGCAACACGCGGUUCGAGCUAGCGCUUUCCCUACAUCCUGCCGCGAACCGUGCUACCAUUAGUUUGGUGGCGCCGGGGAUCGGCUCGAUUACUUUGAGAAAAAUAGAGUGUUCAAAGCAGGCCACACGCCUUGAAUAAGUUAGCAUGGAAUAAUAACUAAGGACUUCGGUUCUAUUUUGUUGGUGUUCGGGACUGAAGUAAUGAUUGAUAGGGACAGUUGGGGCGGUCUGUAUUCCAAAGCGAGAGGUGAAAUUCUUAGACCUUCGGAAGACAAACAGCUGCGAAAGCGUUCCGCAAGGAUGUUCCCUUUGAUCAAGAACGAAAGUUGGGGGAUCGAAGACGAUCAGAUACCGUCGUAGUCUCAACUAUAAACUAUACCAGCUAGGGAUCGGCCAACGUUAUUCUAUACCGACUUGGUCGGCACCUUAUGAGAAAUCAAAGCAUCUGGGUUCCGGGGGGAGUAUGGUCGCAAGGCUGAAACUUAAAGGAAUUGACGGAAGGGCACCACCAGCCGUGGAGCCUGUGGCUUAAUUUGACUCAACACGGGAAAACUUACCAGGUCCAGACAUAGUAAGGAUUGACAGAUUGAUAGCUCUUUCUUGAUUCUGUGGGUGGUGGUGCAUGGCCGUUCUUAGUUGGUGGAGUGAUUUGUCUGGUUAAUUCCGUUAACGAACGAGACCCCAGCCUGCUAAAUAGCGCGCGUGAGCUUUGCUCGCGGCGAGCUUCUUAGAGGGACUAUGAUGCGCGAUAGCACAUGGAAGUUUGGGGCAAUAACAGGUCUGUGAUGCCCUUAGAUGUUCUGGGCCGCGCACGGGCUACACUGGCGCCUGCAACGAGCAUAUCAGCUGGCCCGAGAGGGUCUUGGCUAAUCUUUUGAACCGGCGCCGUGCUUGGGAUUGACCUUUGCAAUUGUUGGUCAUGCAACGAGGAAUGCCUUGUAAACGCGAGUCAUCAGCUCGCAUUGAAUACGUCCCUGCCCUUUGUACACACCGCCCGUCGCUCCUACCGAUGAAUGUUCCGAUGAAAUUUUCGGAGAGUGCCUGUGAACUUGGCUCUGCCUUGCGAACGGGAAGCUCAAAGUCACUAAAUCAGAACAUAAGG
rnacentral:rRNA from 1 species